GGCGCGCCACUGACCCUCAUGGACGAAAGCUGUGGUGAGCGAACAGGAUUAGAUACCCUGGUAGUCCACGCUGUAAACGGUGCAGACUCGAUGCGUGGGNCGGUCCCCUCCGUGUCUAAGCCAACGCGUUAAGUCUGCCGCCUGGGGACUACGGCCGCAAGGCUAAAACUCAAAGGAAUUGGCGGGGGCCCCCACAAGCGGUGGAGCAUGUGGCGUAAUUCGAGGCAACGCGAAGAACCUUACCCGGGCUUGACAUAUUCCGGACCGCCUGUGAAAGCAGGUUUUCCCUUCGGGGACCGGUAUACAGGUGCUGCAUGGCUGUCGUCAGCUCGUGCCGUGAGGUGUUCGGUUAAGUCCGGCAACGAGCGCAACCCGUAUCGUCAGUUGCCAUCAGGUAAUGCUGGGCACUCUGGCGAGACUGCCCGUGUCAAGCGGGAGGAAGGCGCGGACGACGUCAAGUCCGUAUGGCCCUUACGCCCGGGGCUGCACACGUGCUACAAUGGGCGGUACAGUGGGAAGCGAAACCGCGAGGUGAAGCGAAUCCCCAAAACCGCCCCCAGUUCGGAUCGGAGUCUGCAAUUCGACUCCGUGAAGUCGGAAUCGCUAGUAAAGGCGCAUCAGCAACGGCGCCUUGAAUUCGUUCCCGGGCCUUGUACACACCGCCCGUCACAUCAUGAAGCCGGCUGCACCCGAAGUC
rnacentral:rRNA from 1 species